CACGUAGGGUGCGAGCGUUGUCCGGAAUUAUUGGGCGUAAAGAGCUCGUAGGCGGUUUGUCGCGUCUGCUGUGAAAACUGGGGGCUCAACCCCCAGCCUGCAGUGGGUACGGGCAGACUAGAGUGCGGUAGGGGAGAUUGGAAUUCCUGGUGUAGCGGUGGAAUGCGCAGAUAUCAGGAGGAACACCGAUGGCGAAGGCAGAUCUCUGGGCCGUAACUGACGCUGAGGCGCGAAAGCGUGGGGAGCAAACAGG
rnacentral:rRNA from 1 species